GACACAGGACAGGAAUAUAACUUGAGUUCUCAGAACAGUUUUCUCUGCUUGCAGGAAAGGAAGAAAAGCAGGCCCAAGAUUAUUCUGAGACAACUGGAGGGUGACAAGACUUAAGUAGAGAAGUACUGUGUUUCACAUUUUGAGCCAACCAGAUAAUCUGUGGAUACAUUUUGUAGUCCAUUGUAGAUUCCCAAACAACCAGAUGCCUUUUUUCUUCUUUGGAAUCAGUAGGAUUUAAAUAAUAUGCCUGGAAGACUUCUGAACCACUAGCAUCUUCAAGUUCCUGGCUAAAUUUACAGCCUCUUGUGUUCAGCACCUGGAUUGUGCUCAGGAUGGCAAGAGAACAAAGCAAUCUGCUUGCUGUACUUGGGAUAGAGAAGACCUGCACGAGAAAGCCAGAUAUUCAAGAUGGUGUGAUUUCUAUCACAAGCUCUGAAGGACAGCAUGGCAGGACUUAACUGCAGACCAGUGUUUUCAUUAGAAGGAACGAACUGCCUGUAGAUGUGUCCUUACAACUCCAUUGUGCUCUGAACAGCUUCUUGCUGACCGCUGCCUCAAUAUCAGUGAUUCCACCUUAGACCAUAAGCUCCAUGAGGGUAAGAAUCAAGUACUUGUUUUGUUUUGUUUUUGUUACCGUAUGGACUCAGUGACUAGCACAGGCUGU
rnacentral:lncRNA from 1 species